rnacentral:ncRNA from 1 species
UUAAAAGCCAUGAGAAGAACAAGUAGUUAUAAGAAGUUGCUAAACAGAAAGUCACCGGUUGAUGAGAGGUACAUAGUAAGCUUAUAAUGAAUACAUCUUUGAGCUUCACACUGAACGACUAUUUGUCAAGUAGGCUGUGACGGAGCCUGCACACGUUAUAGUGCUAGAGUAUAACCUUUUAAGUGUAAGGCGUACUCGAAGAGGUAGAUUGCGUGAGCAGUUUAUGAACUUAAGGUGGUAACACGAGAGAAUGCUCUCGUCCUUUUG